UCAUUCUCAUUUGAUUGUUGAUACAAAUGCAUGUUGAGGAUACUAACAAAUAAUAUACACUUUACUUGCAUGUAAUAUCAAUAUGGUAACAAGACAAACAUCACUGUCCCUUUCCUUGUCAUCAAAUUGGCCAAACCACUAGCAUGUAAUGCCAAAACUUUAAAAAGGAAUUAAUAUAUUUAUCAAUUUUCUAAAAACAAUUAUUCUUGAAACUUUUUUUAAAAAAAUAAUCCAUUUUGAAAAAGAAAAACUAAAACAUCU
rnacentral:lncRNA from 1 species